CCCUUAGAUGCUCUGGGCCGCACGCGCGCUACACUGGUCGAUGCAACGAGUUUCUUUCCUUGGCCGACAGGCCUGGGCAAUCUUUGAACAUCGAUCGUGAUCGGGAUAGAUUCUUGUAAUUUUUGAUCUUAAACGAGGAAUUCCUAGUAAACGCAAGUCAUCAGCUUGCGUUGAUUACGUCCCUGCCCUUUGUACACACCGCCCGUCGCACCUACCGAUUGAAUGGUCCGGUGAAAUCUCCGGACUGGCGUGAGUCGGAGCAAUCUGACAAACACCGGAAAGUUGAUUAAACCUUACCAUUUAGAGGAAGGUGAAGUCGUAACA
rnacentral:rRNA from 1 species